rnacentral:lncRNA from 1 species
CUGGGAAAAGAAAAAAAUAUUUAUUGAGAAGAGGUAUAUUUAAAAUUCACUCUUUAAACAAUGCAUACACCUUUUCAUUACAAAAGUAUUUUUCACACUAACAGUGACAGAAAAUCAACUCUUCCAACAUCUUUUCAAUGGGAGUUUAUACAUGUAUGUUCAGAAAGAACUUUAAUUAAAAUAGGACACAAAAAAAUAAGGCACAUUGUAUCUUUUGGCAAGAAACACCUAAAUAAAGAUUAUCUUUGUCUUGUAUCAUCUAAUUUUUCAUACUCUAAGUUCUCUUUUGUACUUAAUAUGAAUUAUAAAUUUAAAACCAAACAAUAAUUCCCAUAAGCUAUAUUAAGGUAUAAUUAUUAGUUUAAUAAAUAAUUGGACUUUUAAAACAACACUAUAUCCUUCCAUCUUUCUAGUGAAUGUUAUUAUAAACUUCAGCUGUUUACACAUCCAUAUGCCAAAAUGGAUGUUGAACAUCCACUGUAAUAUUUGUUCAGCACUUUCUCCUCCUUAGAUGUUAUUGUUAAACCAACAAUAUUUUAGUUUAUAAGAAACUCAAAUUAACUGCAAAUCACAGCAUUAAGUAAACUUUAAAGAUACUAGAUUAUACUAGGCAUUUGGGGACUUACAAUUCAAAGGUUAACACAAAAGUACAUAUAAAUUCAUCACUCAAAUACAGAAUAUUAAGUAUGCACUAUCCACUUAUAGUACUCUCAUUAACUAGUGGAUUCAGAAUUUUAAGCUAGACCAUGUGGCUCAAUUUUAGUUAAGCUGUUAACAA